GCACUGCUGAGGAGUCCCACGAUAGGACGAAAUGGCCGUCCAGUGC
rfam:Schistosoma haematobium scaffold8_48, whole genome shotgun sequence.